GGAGAAAAGGACAGAGCUUUCGGCAACAAUGGAAAGGAGCAUAGUAUCAAUUAUGCUACAUUAUGAUUUUUGUUUACUUGUUAAUCUAUCCUGAUAAACUGUGUGUUCCUUAAGAGCAAAGUAUAUAUAUAGAAAGUGAUUUUUCUGUCUUCAUUUCUGGUAUCAAGUAUAGUGUCUAAUAAAGACUAGGUAUUCUAUAAAUGUUUGUCAAAUGUUGAAUGAACAAGCAAGUUUAAGAUUUUGUUUUGUUUUACGUACUAAGGAUUGAACCCAGGGCUACCACUGAGCUACAUCCCCAGCCCCUUCUUAGAAUUUUUUUUUGGAGACAAGUUCUAAUUAAGUUUCUGAGAUUGGUCUCAAAAUUAUUAUUCUCUUGCCUCAGCCUCCCUAUUAGCUGGGACUAUAGGCAUGUGCCUCUACACCGAGAUACAAGUAAGUGAUUUAAUAGAAAGAUAAGAGAAUUGGAAAAACCACAUUUGGAGCCAGUUGCUAUAUCAUCAUAGUGGUAAAUACUUUAUGUGGUUCCAGAGAGUUCUGUUUUCCAUAUCUUGUGGAAGACCCAUAAAAAUGAAAUUAUUUUAGCACUCUUUACCCCAGACAUAUUAACAAAAACUAUGACCAAGCCAUGUGAAAAACACUUUAGCUUUUUGAGACUUACCUUUGGUAUCUUACUCUUAUUUAAAGUUCAGCCAGAGGGAUGUCUUUUCUGCUAUUUCUGCGCAGUGGCUUCAGUCUCCCUUCCCUCUUAAAAUGAAUAUAAUCAUGCCUCACUUAACAACGGGGACACUUUCUGAGAAAUGUGUCAUUAGGCAAUUUUAUCAUCAUGCAAACAUCAUUUGUCCUUAUACAAACCCAGAGGGCAUAGCCUGUUACACACCUAAGCUAUGUGGCAUAUGUGUAUAUGGUAGUGCCUAUUGCCUUUGGGGCCAGGAUGAUAAAAAACACACGAGAUCGGUUCAAGCACAAAAGGAAACAAGGCAGUCAAGAGAAACAGUGAAGCCAAGAUGCAUGAGGUGGAUGAUGGUUUUUGUUUACAGUAAGUUUGUUUUUAGGAGUACACACUAGAACAACAAUGAAAUAUAUACUAUAGUAAGUACAUAAACCAGUCAUUAUCAUUAUCAAAUUUUAAUAACUGUAUAUAUUUCAUUUUCUAUAUUAUUAUAAGUUUACAGGCAGCACAAUAGGUUUGUUUACACUGGCAUCCCCACAAACAGGAGAAAAGCAUUGCCCUGUGACUUUACAAUGGCCAUAUCAUCACAAAGUGAUAAAAAUUUUCACCUCCCUUAUCAUCUUAGGUAACCCAUAUCAUAUAUAUGGUCCUUAGUUAU
rnacentral:lncRNA from 1 species